AGGUAGUUGGUUAGGUAAUGGCUUACCAAGCCUAUGAUCUGUACGGGUUGUGAGAGCAAGAGCCCGGAGAUGGAACCUGAGACAAGGUUCCAGGCCCUACGGGGUGCAGCAGGCGCGAAACCUCCGCAAUGUGAGAAAUCGCGACGGGGGGAUCCCAAGUGCCAUUCUUAACGGGAUGGCUUUUCUUAAGUGUAAAAAGCUUUUGGAAUAAGAGCUGGGCAAGACCGGUGCCAGCCGCCGCGGUAACACCGGCAGCUCUAGUGGUAACAAUUUUUAUUGGGCCUAAAGCGUCCGUAGCCGGUUUAAUAAGUCUCUGGUGAAAUCCUGUAGCUUAACUGUGGGAAUUGCUGGAGAUACUAUUAGACUUGAGACCGGGAGAGGUUAGAGGUACUCCCAGGGUAGAGGUGAAAUUCUGUAAUCCUGGGAGGACCGCCUGUUGCGAAGGCGUCUAACUGGAACGGUUCUGACGGUGAGGGACGAAAGUUAGGGGCGCGAACCGGAUUAGAUACCCGGGUAGUCCUAACUGUAAACGAUGCGGACUUGGUGUUGGGGUGGCUUUGAGCUGCUCCAGUGC
rnacentral:rRNA from 1 species